AAAGAUUAAGCCAUGCAUGUAUAAGUUUAAUCGUUUAUCGAGAAACCGCGAACGGCUCAUUACAAUGGCCAUUAUUUACUUGAUCUUGAUUGUCUAAAUGGAUAACUGUGGAAAAGCUAGAGCUAAUACAUGCACUAAAGCUUUGUCCUUACGGAAAAGCGCAUUUAUUAGAACAAAACCACGCGGCUUCGGCUGCUUCUUGUUGACUCAGAAUAACUUAGCUGACCGCAUGGCCUUGUGCCGGCGGCGUGUCUUUCAAGCGUCCACUUUAUCAACUUGACGGGAGCAUAAUCGAUUCCCGUGGUGGUGACGGAUAACGGAGGAUCAGGGUUCGACUCCGGAGAAGGGGCCUGAGAAAUGGCCACUACGUCUAAGGAUGGCAGCAGGCGCGCAAAUUACCCACUCUCGGCUCGAGGAGGUAGUGACGAGAAAUAACGAGACUGUUCUCUUUGAGGCCGGUCAUCGGAAUGGGUACAAUUUAAACCCUUUAACGAGUAUCAAGCAGAGGGCAAGUCUGGUGCCAGCAGCCGCGGUAAUUCCAGCUCUGCAAAUACAUAGAAUUAUUGCUGCGGUUAGAAAGCUCAUAGUUGGAUUCGUAUCGAUACCUUGGAACCCUUCGGGUGUCUCUAGGUGUUAUCGAUUUAUCGUAAUGUUCGGUUUUGAGUCCUUAACAGGAUUCUUAACAGGCAUUGCAAGUUUACUUUGAACAAAUCAGAGUGCUUCAAACAGGCGUUUUCGCUUGAAUGAUCGUGCAUGGAAUAAUAGAAAAUGAUUUCGGUUCAGUUUUAUUGGUUUUACGGACUGAGAUAAUGGUUAACAGAGACAAACGGGGGCAUUUGUAUGGUCCCGUGAGAGGUGAAAUUCUUGGACCGUGGCCAGACAAACUACAGCGAAAGCAUUUGCCAAGAAUG
rnacentral:rRNA from 1 species